rnacentral:tRNA from 1 species
GGGCGAGUGGUGGAAUGGCAUACACGCGACACUUAAAAUGUCGUCAGCUUCGGCUGAUGAGGGUUCGACUCCCUCCUCGCCCACCA